rnacentral:sRNA from 1 species
GAUGAGUUUAUUGGGGUUUGCUCUGUGGAUGUUCUAACCUCACAUCUAGGAGAGGUUCCCCUAUGCUAACAAAGGCUGGUCUUGCCAAAAUUUUGCACUAAUAAUGCAGGUAUACACACGGUCUGUGAUUGAACCACUUCCUGUCACUCCAACUCGGGACGUGGCUACAUCUCCCAUUUCACCUACUGAAAAUAACACCACUCCACCAGAUGCUUUGACCCGGAAUACUGAGAAGCAGAAGAAGAAGCCUAAAAUGUCUGAUGAGGAGAUCUUGGAGAAAUUACGAAGCAUAGUGAGUGUGGGCGAUCCUAAGAAGAAAUAUACACGGUUUGAGAAGAUUGGACAAGGGUUAGUAGGGGCAUUUUCUUUCCCUGGAGAAAUGACUUUAAAGUGUGUGUGCCGGCAUAUAUGAUUUUGCUUUUGUUUUGCCUCUCAUAAACCUUGUUCUUCUUUCUCCACUUUACCCCUCACCCAUCUGGAGUUGUUAUGUGAGACUGACUUCAGAUUUGGCAGAAUUAUGCUUAAUGUGAGAGAGAUGCCAUUAGCUGACCAUGUUGCUAAAAAUACCCCUGCAGUGACAGUGAGAGAACGGUUUUUUUUCUUAGCACAAAACCAACUUCCCAAAUUACAACUCUGCUUUUCUGGAUGAACCCUGUUUGUCCUAGUGCUGAGAUCCACCAGCACUAAUAUAAAAUGGAAGACCCAAAACUAUAAACCCUUCUACUACUGUGAUAGGACCUGUUUUUCUAGGUA